GUUUAAUGUUGGGGCUUGAAGGAUCCUGGUUUAGGCACUGGAUGGAUCUAAACUUUAUGUGCGAUGAACUAGCUAGGAAGUGAGCCGCCGCCGCCUCGUAGAACAGAGAAGGAUGUCGGGCAUGGCGAGGGAAAAUCUAGUGCGGAUUGAAGAGAUACAAGGGAGAGGAAGAGCUAUCGUGUCCUCUCAGCCGCUGAGGGGCGGUGAAAUUGUGCUCAGGGAUUCUCCAAUCCUCCUCUACUCUGCUUUUCCUCUCAAUGGACAACAACUGCAAUUCUCAACCUCAAUUUAUUGCGAUAACUGCUUCAGAAAGUUACAAUCAGCAUCGGCACCCUUAUCUUGCCCAUCUUGCUCUCAACAUCGUUUCUGUAGCCCAAAUUGCCUUUCGGUUUCAAUUGCCUCGUCCCACAAUACCUGGGUUUGCCAAGCUCUAAGUCGCCUGCGGGAUUGCCCAUCCCUUGUUCUGCAUCAGCCUAUGGAGCGCCAAAUCCAAGCCCGUUUCCUCAUCGCCGCCUACAACCUUGCACUUGUUUCGCCUUCCAACUUCCAAAUUUUAUCAUCUCUUCAAGGCCAUGGAGAGGAUAAAGAUGCCGUAGCCGCUCAAUUUUUACAUUCCGUCAUCUCGUCUCUCUGCCCUCCUCCUUCGAUUGAGGGAUUCCUCUUCUCCUUGGAACUUACCUCGGCACUACUUGCCAAGGACAAGCUCAAUGCUUUCGGCAUAAUGGAACCUGUGGAUUUCAAUAAAGAAAACUGUGGGCAGAGAUCAGUCCGAGCCUAUGGCAUAUACCCGAAGGCCUCCCUCUUCAACCAUGACUGCCUUCCAAAUGCUUGCAGAUUUGAUUACGUCGACAAUGCUCCCGAUCGCAAUACUGACGUGAUUAUCCGGAUGAUUCAUGAUGUCCCUCAAGGAAGAGAGAUCUGCUUGAGCUAUUUCCCUGUUAAUGAGAAUUAUUCCAGCCGGCAGAAAAGAUUGCUCGAGGACUAUGGAUUCACCUGCGAGUGUGACCGGUGUAAAGUCGAAGCUAAUUGGUCGGAUCAGGAGGACAAUGGGGGCGAUGAUGAUGAUGAAGAGAAUGAGGCAAUGGAGGAGGACCAUGAUGAACCAAUGGUGGAUGAGGCAGCCUCAGAAUAUGAAACCGACUUUCCCCACGCUUAUUUCUUCGUGAGAUACAUGUGUAAUCGAGAAAAUUGCUGGGGAACUCUAGCUCCUUUGCCUUCGUCAAAUGUUAACCAGUCGUCUAAUCUCUUGGAGUGUAAUGUGUGUGGCAACAUAAAAAAUGAAGCAGAUGACAUUGAUGCUGAUGGAGGACAAGGCGCGUAUUCCAUACCUCAUUAGUUUAUCCUAAUCCUAUGCGAUUUUGCUGUUCCUGUUCCUUUAAUUUCAGUGCUAUGAUUGCAGUUAUGAUAUAUAUAUUUCUGAACGAGUAAUUACUCAAUUCAAAAUGCAUUUGUUUUUCUCAAUGCACAUACUUGCAAUUUUCUCUCCUCACAUAGUUGCAGAUUUGUGGAGAUAUCAGUUUACAUGGUAUCAAAAUGGGGGAUAGUUUCUAUUAUCUCAGGAUUCUAUUUCAUUGUUCUUUCUUUUAUCUGUGAUGCUUCCUGUUACAUUCUUUCUAAAGGAACCACAUGGGUUUGGUUUUGCACGGUCAAAUGAUAGGAAGGAAAAGAAAUGAAUAGUUUGGAUGUCCCAAUACGAUUAUACACGUCAUAUUAGAAAAUAAAAAUUUCCAUUUAUCUUCUCCCAAUUCACUUUUUUUUUUU
rnacentral:misc_RNA from 1 species